AGCUGAUAAAGCUCUAUGACGACUGCAGUUCAGUCAUCAGAAGAAAAGAGCCCUGAGCACUCAAGGGUGAGCCAGAGCUGGCCAGUAGUCCAAGUCCUCAUGGUGAAAGGACACAAGCAAGGAGUGGGCUGGAGGGAAGCACAAGGGAGAAGGCUCGCCUGGAAACCACUGCAUUGGUGUCUGAAGUACAUA